rnacentral:lncRNA from 1 species
CCUUUGCUUCUCACUGACUGACUGGCUUUUACCCUCCACGCACUCACACGCCACCCCCUCCCCUCGGCUAGACACGGAUGCCCGAGCGAGCACGCGCGCGCGCUCACGCUCGCCGGCAUACAGACACACGGAGAGUCAGGCUAGCAUCUGAUGCUGACUCAGAGCGCUUCUGUGUGCAAGGGGUGGCGGCGGCUGGUAUUUUCACUGCGCUCAUCAUUAACAUUAACGCACAGUCUGGCAUCCACCCUCUCCCAGACCUGCUGGACUGCGGCAUUUGCAUGACGCUGUCACUCUUGCCUCUGCAGGAAUUAGAAGACCAGCCCUGCCAGGAUCUGACUAAUCAAUGUGAUUUACACUGUGGUGAAAUGCUAAAUUGUGGACUGACAUCAACCAACAAGGCACAAAGCACUGCACCGAAGCUGGACCAAUCCUUGCCAUCAGCUGGCAGCAGAAUGGUAGACGGUGGGAGAGACCCUGAAUCCUUCCAGGCUGGGCUGACUUGAGAAAUGAGAACUGCACACGUUUGACUCCCGAACCGAAGGGGUGAAAAGGCUGGGUGCCAGUUUGCUACUCGGCUGAAAUGAUCUCAUGUUCACUGCUCUGUCGUCCUGUUCGACCAGUUCAAAUGCCUGUUCAUUAUAAACCAAAUACAUACAUAAAUAAAUAACCCAACUACUUGGAUUCUUCAGUAACCGAAAAAAAAAAGAUAAGCAGCAGAAUUUAUCAGGCGUGAAAGGGACAGCCUCCUGGUGGCCUGCCAAAAACCCAGAAUAAAGGCGAAGUUGUGCUUCAUAGCUCAGUUGCUUGCUGAGUCUGGCUAAAGUCAAGUAUUAAGAUCCACCAUUUUCUGAUCCUUGCUAGAAAAGAAGAAAAAAGUCAGGCCCGCUGCUGCUUCCAAGUCUCCGUUGGCACCAUCACAAAAUCUCAGUCGUCAGGUCACGUGAUCCUCUGCCAAAUGUAGAGUGAGUGCAUUCCCAUCAACCAUUCUGCUGAUACUGCGAAGGCAGCUAUUGUCUCGUUUAGACCCAAAGUUCAGCCCACUCUUCAUUGAAUUAGCUGAAAAACGCAUCACCUUUGGGGGCUGGGAGUCAUGGUAACGUCUACCUGGCAAGCUGCCCACUUUUUCUGCCCAUCAACCAGAGAUGGGAUUGUGCUGCCUAACGCAGUGAUGACUUGGAAUGUGAAGAGUCGUCCAAAGUGAAUCUAAUUCUUGCAACGCCUGUUUCAUUUGCACAGAAAACUCUGCCUUGUAGUUAGGGGAGGAGAGGCGUGGGGGAAUCUUUCCUACCAAAAGUAGCAAAUAAAGGUCUGAACAUGCCUACUUUGCAACUUUAUUUCUCAACACACCCAAACGGCUCUCAAAUGAGAAGACUGAACACCCUGUGAGUUUUCUUCAUUAAAGGCAUCUCUGUUUUCUUUACCGUGAAUACAAGCCCAGAACAUUUGUUUUACUCUCUCACUUUAAGACUUCAAAACAAAACAGAACCUCAGAGUUUUCUUUUUCUUUCUUUUUUUUGCAUUUUUAUUGCUUUCUGAUUUUAUCUAGCACCAAUUUUGUACUACAUGGCCACUAGCAACAGAGAUGCAUUAUUGCUACCAUCUCCAACAAAGUGGUCCCCUGAGAGGCUGGCUUGUCUCUUCCAGCAGGCAAAUGGCUGCAAUUGGGUCUUGUGAUAAUCCCCAUCACUACCUAGCACAGCUGCUCUGCAAGUUUGCUGCGAGUGACACAUGUGAGAAGAGCCUUUCUGUUCCCUCACUGGCUACGGUUUGCCUGUGUGGCAUGAAAGAUGUCUUUGAAAGGUGUAGCGAGUGUAUCAACAGCUCUUAGGCAAUAAAACUGCCUUCGCCUCCCUGGUGAGAUUCCAUUCCAGCAUGCAAUGAGAGUCCCCAUGUACAAACAUUUCCAUAUUUUCUAACAAAAGUGGAGUGAAUUCAAUCUGUGUUUCCUUAAGCAGGAUCUAAUGCCAAAUAGGAGAGUAAGCCUUGCUAGUGUUUAAGGCAAAGAUAGAACCCAAUUUAAAAGAUCUGUAUCUUCAUACUCCAUUGUAAAUUUUCUAGUGAUUAUAUGUCUAAAGUAAAUUAUGUUCGCAAGACAUCUAACAUUACACUCAGUACCUAAUCCGAAAGAUAGAUCUGCACCCUCUCCAGGAAUACAUACAUUAUAAAUAAUACUUGACAAUUCAAACCAUGACUUGCCUAAACAUUAAAGGUGAAAGUCAGAGAACUAGGAAACCUCCUAUCCGUGGCUUCAAGGGAUAUUUCCUUAUUCAUGAGGUCACUUCAGAGGUGCGGGGCUGAGUAUCACAUGCACAUAUGGGAAAUGUCAUGGUAUCCUGCCUGUCUGUAAUUGAAAAUUGCAUGCAGUUCUACACAUCGAAACAUGACCUUAAACAUGUGCUGAAUCUUUGCAAUUACUUUUUCCUAGGCUGAAGAAAUUCUGGGCAAAUUUUGUCAGAGUCCUAA